GACGAACGCUGGCGGCGUGCUUAACACAUGCAAGUCGAACGGUGAAGCGCCUUCCUUUUUGGUGGGUGUGGAUGAGUGGCGAACGGGUGAGUAACACGUGAGUAACCUGCCCCCUUCUUCUGGAUAACCGCAUGAAAGUGUGGCUAAUACGGGAUAUUCUGGGUCUGUCGCAUGAUGGGUCUGGGAAAGAUAUUGUUUCGGUGGGGGAUGGGCUCGCGGCCUAUCAGCUUGUUGGUGGGGUGAUGGCCUACCAAGGCGGUGACGGGUAGCCGGCCUGAGAGGGUGGACGGUCACACUGGGACUGAGACGCGGACAAGACUCCUACAGGAAGCAGCAGUGGGGAAUAUUGCACAAUGGGCGCAAGGCUGAUGCAGCGACGCCGCGUGAGGGAUGGAGGCCUUCGGGUUGUGAACCUCUUUCGCCAGUGAAGCAGGCCUGCCUCGUUUGUGGGUGGGUUGACGGUAGCUGGAUAAGAAGCGCCGGCUAACUACGUG
rnacentral:rRNA from 1 species